UACGGAGGGAGCUAGCGUUAUUCGGAAUUACUGGGCGUAAAGCGCACGUAGGCGGCUUUGUAAGUUAGAGGUGAAAGCCUGGAGCUCAACUCCAGAAUUGCCUUUAAGACUGCAUCGCUUAAUCCAGGAGAGGUGAGUGGAAUUCCGAGUGUAGAGGUGAAAUUCGUAGAUAUUCGGAAGAACACCAGUGGCGAAGGCGGCUCACUGGACUGGGUAUUGACGCUGAGGUGCGAAAGCGGUGGGGAGCAAACAGG
rnacentral:rRNA from 1 species